GGCGAGUGAAGCGGCAACAGCUCAAAUUUGAAAUCUGGCUCUCUUUGGGGGUCCGAGUUGUAAUUUGCAGAGGAUGCUUUGGCAUUGGCGGCGGUCUAAGUUCCUUGGAACAGGACAUCGCAGAGGGUGAGAAUCCCGUACGUGGGCGCCUGCCUUUGCCGUGUAAAGCUCCUUCGACGAGUCGAGUUGUUUGGGAAUGCAGCUCUAAAUGGGAGGUAAAUUUCUUCUAAAGCUAAAUACCGGCCAGAGACCGAUAGCGCACAAGUAGAGUGAUCGAAAGAUGAAAAGUACUUUGGAAAGAGAGUCAAAAAGCACGUGAAAUUGUUGAAAGGGAAGCGCUUGCAGCCAGACUUGCCCGCAGUUGCUCACCUAGGCUUUGGCCUGGGGCACUCUUCUGCGGGCAGGCCAGCAUCAGUUUGGGCGGUCGGACAAAGGCCUCUGUCAAGUAUCUCCCUUCGGGGUGACCUUAUAGGGGAGGCGUAAUGCGACCAGCCCGGACUGAG
rnacentral:rRNA from 1 species